GACGAACGCUGGCGGCGUGCUUAACACAUGCAAGUCGAGCGAAGAGCGAUGGAAGCUUGCUUCUAUCAAUCUUAGUGGCGCACGGGUGAGUAACGCGUAAUCCACCUGCCCUUCAGAGGGGGACAACAGUGGGAAACGACUGCUAAUACCGCAUACGAUCUAAUCUCGGCAUCGAGGAGAGAUGAAAGGUGGCCUCUACAUGUAAGCUAUCACUGAAGGAGGGGAUUGCGGCUGAUUAGCUAGUUGGAGGGGUAACGGCCCACCAAGGCGAGGAUCAGGAGCCCGUCUGAGAGGAUGGACGGCCACAUUGGGAACGAGACACGGCCCAGACUCCUACGGGAGGCAGCAGUGGGGAAUCUUCCGCAAUGGACGAAAGGCUGACGGAGCAACGCCGCGUGAGUGAUGACGGCCUUCGGGUUGUAAAGCUCUGUUAAUCGGGACGAAAGGCCUUCUUGCGAAUAGUGAGAAGGAUUGACGGUACCGGAAUAGAAAGCCACGGCUAACUACGUG
rnacentral:rRNA from 1 species